UACGUAGGUGGCAAGCGUUGUCCGGAUUUACUGGGCGUAAAGAGCGCGCAGGCGGUCGAUCAAGUCGCGUGUGAAAGCCCCCGGCUCAACUGGGGAGGGUCACGCGAUACUGAUCGACUCGAAGGCAGGAGAGGGUAGUGAAUUCCCGGUGUAGUGGUGAAAUGCGUAGAUAUCGGGAGGAACACCAGUGGCGAAGGCGACUACCUGGCCUGUUUCUUGACGCUGAGGCGCGAAAGCUAGGGGAGCAAACGGG
rnacentral:rRNA from 1 species